CAGUCUGUGUGCAUUUAUUCUGUAACGGGGCUGACAAGACGUGAGGCAUGCAGAUCCAUGUGCAGGCUUUAUUAAGCAGAGAGGUCAGAAACACAGGCAGGGUCGAACAAGGGCAAACAGGAAUAUGGCGGGCAAGACACAAGAAUAAUCCUAGGGCUAGCGAAGGUCAACGAACGGCGAACAGAGUCAAAAGGGGCAAGACUAAAGGGGUAAAUCCAGGAAAACA